CCGAGUAAUACAACAAUAUUAACAUCACCUUUUGGUAGAUAAGGAAAGUCUAAGACCGGACAACUUGUUCAAGGACACAAAGCCAACAUGUGUUAGAACCAGGACCUGCCGGGUAUGGUGGCUCACGGCAGUAAUUUGGCGCUUCGGGAGGCUGAGGGGGCGCGCCGCGUGAGUCCGAGCCGGCCGCUCAGAGCGCUCCAGGCUGGGUUCCCGGGCCCCGCCGCGCCGCCUCCUUCCCAGCUCGCCCGCCCAGGCCUGGCCUCCUGCUUUUCCAUUUGAUUCCCUGCCUCUUUCUAUUCGGACUGGAAUGCCGGGCCAGGCUCCGGGGCGCGCCGCUGCGGCAGCCGCACCUCGCAGGUCCCCCGGCCGACCCCGACGCGGAAGCGGCGGCCCUCCUCGCCGUCGGGGAGCCAGGGAGCCGGGGACGGUCAGUCACAUAAGGCUUAGAGGAUCAAGGAUCCUGCCCAGAUGACUUACCGAAAUGUUACAGAUUAAGUUGGUGUGGUAACCUGGGCUGAGCACUCUGGGAGAGGAAGAGAAGAGAGAAGACAGGAAACAACUGAACUAUGACCAAUCCCAGCACGGAGGCCCAGAAAACUUUAAGAUUUGAGUAUUAAUGUCUCAAGGUCAGGAGCAACCUCAAGGCUAAAACUCAGAUCUCAGGACUCAAUUUCACAGAAGUUCCACUAUAAAGGCAAUAAUCUAAAGCUUUAAAUGAUAUGAAAAUUUUGUAAUAAGAGUUCAGUAUUUCUGCCAACAUUGGCGCAUGGAUUGCAAAGUUCACAGGAUUGAAAACACCAUCGACAUAAUGGAAAUUGAACAGCAUCUGAUUACUGAGUGCUAUAUCAGCAAGUUAAAAGGAUCUUUUGCAUACCUUUUAAUGGUAUAUAUCCUAAAACUGAAGUGUUCAAUAUAGACAUCCAGAUUGAAACUCAGGCAGUGAAUUACAUACACAACAAAUCAGUUGAACAUGGCAGAGCUUGUCAGACUUAUGAAAGAUUAAAUACAUUUUACAUUUCCACAAGUGUGGUAUUCACAGGUCUAAAUUGGAAAAUUCUUGGGUUGAAGAAGAAUAAUCAUAAUCUUAGCUUCACUCAUUGAGGAAACAUUAUUCAGGGAUGAUAAGAGGUAAAAUCUUAAAAAUAUUGACAAGCUAAUGAGAGAACUUUGAGGUAAGCUGAUAUGCAGGUAUAGUUAGGACUGGGUCACACAAUGUUAACGCCUUAGCAAAGAGCUUAGCUGCCUUCUGUUCAUGCCCUAGGAAUCUGUGGAAGUUUGAACUUGAGAGUGAUGAUUUAGGGUAUCUGGCAGAAGAAAUGUCUAAGCAGCAAAGUGAUCAAGAAGUGGUGUGGCUGCUUCUAGCCACUUAUAUUCAGAUGUGGGAGCAAAGACAAAAGGUAGAACUUAUAUUUAAAAGGGAAGCAGAGCAAAAAAAGUUUGGAAAAUUUGCAGCCUGGCCAUGUGGCAGAGAAAGAAAAAAGCUUUUUCAGUAGAGGAAUUCAAGCAGACUGUGGAACAAUUACUUGCUAGAGAUGUUUGCAGGAUUAAAGGGGAGCCAAGUGCUACUAUCCAAGACAAUAGGGAAAAAGCCUUGAAAGCAUUUCAAAGAACUUCAGAGUGGCUUCUCCCAUCACAGGCCCAGAAGCUUAGGAGGAGAGAAUAGAUUCAUGGACUGGGCCCAGGGCCAUGGUACCUUGCACAGCCUUGGGACACUGCUCACCACAUCCUAGCUGCUCCUGUUCCCACUCUUGCCAUGGCUCAAAGGGGCCUACAUACAGCUUGGACUGCCACUUUGGAGAAUGCAAACAGUAAACCUUGGUAGCUUUCAUGUGGUGUUAAGCCUGCAGGCACACAAAGUGCAAGAAUCGUGGAUUCUUGGCAGCCUCUGCCUAGAUUUCAGAGGACAUAUGGAAAAGUCUGUUUGUCCAGGCAGAAGCCUGUUACAGGGGUGGAGCCCUUACAAAGAACCUCUACUAGGGCAGUAUAGAGGGGAAAUGUGGGGUUGGAGGCUCCAACAGGGUCACCGCUGGGGCACUGCCUAAUGGAACUAUACGAAGUGGGCCACUGCCCUCCAGACCUAAGGAUGAUAGAUCUACCAGCAGCUUGUAUUCUGCACCUGGAAAAGCCACAGGCACUCAACUGCAGCCCAUGAGCGCAGCCUUGGAUUCUUUACCCUGCAAAGCCAUAGGGGCAGGACUGCUCAAGGCCUGGGGAGCCCACCCCUUGUACCAGUGUGGCCUGGAUGUGGAACAUGAUGUCGAAGAUUAUUUUGGAACUUUAAGAUUUAGUGACUUCCCUACUGGGUUUUGGAGCUGUGUGGAUCCUGUAGACCCUUUCUUUUGGCCAAUUUCCCCCUUUUUGGGAUGGAAACAUUUACCCAAUCCCUAUACCCCCAUUGUAUCUUGGAAGUAAAUAAUUUGUUUUUGAUUUUACAGGCUUAUAGGUGAAAGUGACUUCCCUUGUCUCCAAUGAGGCUUUGGACUUUGGACUUUUGAGUUAAUGCCAGAAUGAGUUAAGAUUUUGGGGGCCUAUUGGAAAGGCAUGAUUGUAGUUUGCAAUGUGAGAAGGACAUGAGAUUUGGAGAGGCCAGAGGUGGAAUGGUAUAGUUCAGAUAUUUGACCCAGCCCAAAUCUCUUGUUGAAUUGUAAUCCCCAAUGCUGGAGGUGGGGCCUUCCUUGUAUGAUGUGUUUGGAACAUGCAGGCAAAUUCCUCAUGGCUUGGUGCUGUUUUCAUGAUAGUGAGUGAGUUCUCCUGAGAUGUGGUCAUUUAAAAGUGUAUGGCACCUCCCCCCACUCUCUAUCUCUCUUGCUCCUGCUCUGCUAUAUGAGACACCUGUUCCCCGUUUGCCUUCCACCAUGAUUGAAAGCUUUGUGAGACCUCCUCAGAAGCCAAGCAGAUGCCAGUGCCAUGCUGCCUGUAUAGCCUGCAGAACCACAAGCCAAGUAAACCUCUUUUCUUUAUAAAUUACUUAGUCUCAGAUAUUUCUUUACAGCAAUGUAAGAAUGGCCUAAUACAAUAGCCUAAACUAAUUUGAGGGAGGUGAUGUGUCUCUUGCUACACAAAGUAUGGUUCAUGGACUAACAGCAUUGGCGUCACCAGGAGGUUGUCAGAAGUACAGACUUUCAGUUCCCUUCCCAGACCUAAUAAAUCAGACUCUCCAAAAAGUUUUGGGAGCACUGCUCCAGCCAAUGACUUGUGGUAGAAUUCUGUUUUUGCCUCAACAGCAUCCAUUCUCCUUUCAGUAACAACUCCUAGCUUCUACUUUGGGGAACUUUCCAUCUCCCACACUCAGACCUAGGGUUCAGAUGUGGCUAACCUAGCCCUGUGCAGCCAGAGGAAGGCACAUGAUCCAGGCCUGGCCAAUGACAGUGCCUUAUGACCCAGCCAGAGUGACUGGUUCAGCAAAGAGGGUGUAAUAUGAGCUGAGCCAAUGAGACUUAGUCCUGGUACUUUUGGGAAAGAAAUGCUCCCCUUCCUGAGUUUGCUGAGCUGAUAAGAUAUUCAUCUACAGCAGCCAUCUUUCCACUACCUGAGAAUGAAGCCAACAUAGGAAAAUGGAGCUGAGAAAUGAGAGAGAUCCUAACAAAUUCAUUUAUCCACUCACUACCGGAUCUAAAUCCUGGGCUUUUUAGUAACUCAAGCCAGUAUAGUCUUCAUUUCUUUGGCCAGUUCAAACUGGAUGUCUACUAGUUACAACUGAAAGAAUCCUAAUACAUCAGUCUCUUCCUGUCCCUGAAAUUCAUUAGGCUCAUUUUGAAUCUUUGAUAUUUCCUUUUCCUCUCUUCUUUGUCUGUGUUUAAUCCAUUUUGCAUUGCUGUAAAGGAAUACCUGAGACUCGGUAAUUUAUAAAGAAAAGAGAUUUAUUUGGCGCACAGUUCUGCAGGCUACACAAGCAUGGCACCAGCAUCUGCUCAGCUUCUGGUGAGGCCACAAGAAGCUUUAACUCAUGGCGGAAGGCGGAGGGAGAGCAGGUGUGUCAUAUGGCGAGAGAGGGAGCAAGAGAGAGGGGAGGGAGACUUCUCUUUUUUUGGCAAUCAGAUCUCGUGGUAACUAAUAAAGCAAAAAUUAAUUCAUUACUGUGGCAAGGACACCAAGCCAUUCCAAAAAGAUUCACCCCCAUGACCCAAACACCUCCCACCAGGUCCCACCUCCAGUGUUGGAGAUCGCAUGGGAGACAAAUAUCCAAACUAUAUCACUCCUCUCUAAACCAGUUUAGAGGGUUCAAACUUUGCCUUCUCCAGAUUUGCCUCUUCCCUGAGACCUUCCCUGAUAGCUUCCCACACAUACUGCUCUCCCCAGUCCAUCAAUGAAUUCCUGCAUCCAGGUGGCUAAUGGUUCCAUACUUACCCUUCAGCUGUGACCAGUUUUGUGUCCACCUCUGUCUUCCUCCCUCUUUUUGCUUAGAUGACACCCACUCAACCUCUAGAUGUCCCCUGCUACAGGUGGGAUGCCCUUGUUAUAUGUUCUUAUAGCACCACCUGUCUUCCCUUCAUGGCACUUAUAUUUGUAAAUGUAUUCAUGCCAUAGAGUACUGCAUGAAGGCAGUCGAGUGGGUGGUUCAAACGUAGACCCUGGUGUCAGCCUGCCUGGACUAGCUAUAUGACCUUGGGCAAGUUUCUUAACCUCUCUAUACCUCAAUUUCCUUACUUAUCAGGUGAAGAUAUUAAGAGUACCUCCUCAGAGUGUGAUUUUGUUAAUUUAUGUAAAGUACUGAGAACAUGCCUGGCAUGUAAUAGGCACUGUAUAAGUGAUAUCUAUUAUUAUUGUACAUGGGAUUAUUUGAUGUCUGUAUCCCAUCCCCCAUCAGACAUGAAAAAAUAGGUCUGCUUUUGAUCACCAUUUUACACUUAAAGAAAAGGGUCAGGCUGGGCAUGGUGGCUCACACUUGUAAUUCCAGCCCUUUGGGAGGCUGAGGCAGGUGGAUUGCUUGAGCCUAGGAGGGAGGGAGGGAAAGAAAGGAAGAAAGAAAGAGAGAGAGGGGGAGAGAGAGAGAGAAAGAAAGAAAGAAAAGAAAUAAAAGAAAGAAAGAGGAAAAAGGGAAGGAGGGAGGGAGGGAAAGAGAAAGAGAAAAGAGGGAGAGAGAAAGAAAAA
rnacentral:lncRNA from 1 species